AUGUGUGCCCGGCAGCAGGCCGGUCAGGACUCCGCGGGGGUCCCCGUGCGGGGGCAGCUUGUAUACGGACUCCCGCCCCCUCCGGUGCACGAGGUGGACGUGGUGACAGAGCGCGUGCUGUGUCCUCUGAGCGUAGCUGCCGCCACAGAGACACGCGCGCCAACACGUAACAAACAUCAACCUUCACCUGUUCGCGAGGGAUUUAAAUCAACUGACAACAACACACACAACACAACAACAACACACAACACAACAACAACACAGCAACACACACAACACAGCAACACAACAACACACACAACACAGCAACACAACAACAACACACACAACACACCACAGCAACACACACAACACAGCAACACACAACAACAACACACACAACACAGCAACACAACAACAACACACACCACAGCAACACACACAACACAACAACAACACAGCAACACACACAACACAACAACAACAACAACAACACACAACACAGCAACACAACAACACACACAACAACAACACAACAACAACACACAACACAGCAACAACACACAACACAACACAGCAACAACACACAACACAACAACACACACAACACAGCAACACAACAACAACACAACAACACACACUACAGCAACACACAACACAACAACAACACACAACACAACAACACAGCAACACACACAACACAACAACAACAACACAGCAACACAACACAGCAACAACACAGCAACACACACAACACAACAACAACAACAACACAGCAACACACAACACAGCAACACACAACACAACAACACAGCAACACACAACACAGCAACAACACACAACACAGCAACACACACAACACAACAACAACAACACAGCAACACACAACACAGCAACAACACACAACACAACAACAACACAGCAACACAACACACACAACAACAACACAGCAACACAAACACAAACAGACCUCCACAGUCAAACGUGGUUAUGGAUCAGAACUGUAAGAAAGACUCUGGUUGUCACUGA
ensembl:lncRNA